rnacentral:rRNA from 1 species
AGAGUUUGAUCAUGGCUCAGGAUGAACGCUAGCGGCAGGCCUAAUACAUGCAAGUCGAGGGGCAGCAGGGAUAGCAAUAUUCGCUGGCGACCGGCGCACGGGUGCGUAACACGUAUACAAUCUGCCUUUAACAGGGGGAUAGCCCGGAGAAAUCCGGAUUAAUACCCCAUAAUAAAUUGACUGGCAUCAGUUGAUUUUGAAAGCUCCGGCGGUUAGAGAUGAGUAUGCGUCUGAUUAGCUAGUUGGUGAGGUAACGGCUCACCAAGGCAACGAUCAGUAGGGGAUCUGAGAGGACUACCCCCCACACGGAUACUGAGACACGGAUCCGACUCCUACGGGAGGCAGCAGUAAGGAAUAUUGGACAAUGCCCGCAAGGGUGAUCCAGCCAUGCCGCGUGCAGGAAGACGGCCCUAUGGGUUGUAAACUGCUUUUACACCGGAGAAAACCUUCCCUCGUGAGGGGAGCUGAUAGUAUGGUGAGAAUAAGCAUCGGCUAACUUCGUGCCAGCAGCCGCGGUAAUACGAAGGAUGCAAGCGUUAUCCGGAUUCAUUGGGUUUAAAGGGAGCGUAGGUGGCCUUAUAAGUCAGUGGUGAAAUCUCUCGGCUUAACCGAGAAAUUGCCAUUGAUACUGUGGGGCUUGAGUAUAGUUGCCGUUGGCGGAAUAUGACAUGUAGUGGUGAAAUACAUAGAGAUGUCAUAGAACACCGAUUGCGAAGGCAGCUGACGAAACUAUAACUGACACUGAGGCUCGAAAGUGCGGGGAUCAAACAGGAUUAGAUACCCUAGUAGUCC